CCUCUAGCCAAACAAUCAGCAAAUAAAGGUAACUUUAAAGAGUGUUAAGCCCAACUUUAUGACUUUCACAGGCACCAAGGGCAUGGUCUCAGAGGCCUAAGCUACCACAUAGCAUAGCCCAGGACUGCUUGUUGGUUGAUCUGCUGGGACCAACUGUGACUCAUCUAUUUACUACAGAGCAAAGAAACAUGCAAUUCCAAAGGCCUGCCAGCCACACCAAAGAGCUUCUCCCAAGGCAUGAACCAGGAGAGGAAGCUGCAGAGUGGGAGGAGAGUGAUGUUUUGAACCAGAAAACAAGAGUCAAAUGAGGCUAACAAUGCAUAAAGCUUGGGUACAGCAUAAAGUGUAUUUCCCCUUUGUUUAAUCACUAAUGAAAUGCUUCUGAACAUGGAAUACCUCAAAAAACAAGACAUAGAAUAUAAAAAAGGAGAAAGAGGAAAAUGAAAAGAAAGUGAAGAAUCCCUUAAUACUCUACAUAAGGAAAAAUAAAAAGUUGGCUGUUUGUACAUUUGCAAAAGCAUAAUGAUUAUGUGUCCUGAAGGAAUUUUACAGAACAUUUAAUAUAUGG
rnacentral:lncRNA from 1 species